CAGUCGCCACGGUAAUACGAAGGGGGCUAGCGUUGCUCGGAAUCACUGGGCGUAAAGGGUGCGUAGGCGGGUCUUUAAGUCAGGGGUGAAAUCCUGGAGCUCAACUCCAGAACUGCCUUUGAUACUGAAGAUCUUGAGUUCGGGAGAGGUGAGUGGAACUGCGAGUGUAGAGGUGAAAUUCGUAGAUAUUCGCAAGAACACCAGUGGCGAAGGCGGCUUACUGGCUCGAAACUGACGCUGAGGUGCGAAAGCGUGGGGAGCAAACAGGAUUAGAUACCACGGUAGUCCCUGUCUCUUAUAC
rnacentral:rRNA from 1 species